CUUCAGUUUUCCACACUUUUUUUCUUUAUGCAUUUGAGGAAUAAUAUGAAACUUGCUGAACAGCUUCAAAAUGUCAAACUACAGAUCAAGUUUACACUUUUGUAGCGUCUGAUUGGCAUAUUUUUGAGAAAAUUAAUUUUUUUAUAUUCCAAUUUUUUAAUGUUCGGUUUCGUUAUCGGGUUCGGAGUGUAUUGAAUAAACGAGGCCAGUAUGUAGUCAGUAAUAAUAUCGUGCGUUACUUGUACCAUUCCUUUUAUCAUUUCUAACAAAAAAAAUAAAUUCUGUAAAAUAGUGUUAAACAUUGUGUUGUAAAUUUAAUCGGCAGGGUUUUUUUUUUGUAUUAUUACAAUCGGGUUCGUUGUCGGGUUGGGCUGUUUAACUGUUCGGUUUGAUUUGGGGUACAGAAGACGGUAAGAAAUGAUAUGGUGCAUAACAGUGCAUUGUUUUCACAAAUUUUUACCAGCGAAUACAGAAUAGACUUGGCGAAAUUACAGGAGAUGAAAUAAAGGAUUUCAGCCCGAAAUCUCCAUCAUAACAAGGGAAAAAAGGAUGCCGUGUGACUGUCAUACCAGAUAGAUAUAAGAAGUUGCCUUCCAGGAUGACGGAUCUGGUAAAUUGAGGGAGUAAAUGGUCCUUCGCCCGGGAACUAUCAUCUCCUGAGAACAAGACAGGGGAAGAGGGGCUCUAACAGUGAAGUAGAAAAGUAAAGUGGAAAAUCAGAAAGCAAGCAGAGACAGAUUCUAACAGACUACAACACUUUGGGAAGACUGGUUCAUUUUUAACCAAGAGUUGCGGAACCAUCAGGAGUAGAGAGCAAGCUUCAAUGGGUCUCUGGCCUGGCCACGGAGGAAUGGCGAAGGCUUACCACAAGGAUUUGGCUCUAAUGCGACGUGUAUCCCUUUGCAUUAAAGAGACACAACUUCUUCACGGAAGUAGAGACCAGUGCACCUGGUAGAAAACCAGUAGCUCAAAAUUACUCCCUUCUGGUUGGCCUGAGCCAAAAAACCCUCGGUAAUGAUGGAAUGGGGAAAAUAUUGCUUUACACUAACACCCCUGCUUCUUUCUGUAAGUCCCUGCAAAAAAAAACCAGUAACAAAGUUUUGGCUCAAAUUGAAACCCUGAAUAUAGUCGACAUGAGUCGCAUUUGUCGCCAGUUAGUUGACGUCAACACAACUAGGGAACAGGAGUCACCGCAAUGCGACGGCAUGCACAACAACCCCUUGUCUUCUGGGGUCGGUGUGAGACACAAACUGUCUACUCUAGAUCUGUUGCUGAGCUGAAAAUGUAACUGCAGAAUAUCAAUUUAUCGAAGUGGUAACAAAAAAAAAAUCUUCUCAUAGCACGGUCAGUUAAGGGAUUAGGCAUCUGUUACAUGUAACCACUGUUGUAGUCCAGGGGAGUGCUGCGAGGCUAACCUCCCCAAGCAGCAUACAAAGGGGGCGGGGUUACCUGGCCUAGGGAGGGAAUGACCGAACUUCUCAGUGAAGACGGUACCGAUGUUGAAGGAGUAACAACUGAUCAAGACAGCUCGGCUGGUCGGGCUGCAGACUCCCUCCUCAAAAAUGGGCUGUACAAGGUCAAGCCAACACAUUACCUGGAUACUCGGCAUCUCUCGGAAAGUAUCAGGAAAUCUUUUUAAAAAGAAAUGAAGAGCUUUUACAGGUCAUGCCCUGCAGAACAAACGUUGAGAAAACCAAACUUUUGCAUUAUUUUCUUCUCGAUGCGGUCGAUAGAUGCCCAGCCGAAAUAAAUCAAGCAUACGACUUGUAUGCUGGUGAUAUUCAUACAAGUAAGAUGAAAAACAAGUUCUCAUAUAUUACAUAUCUAGGUUAAACUUUUGAAAAACAGAGAACGAGAACUUGCUCCGGUCCGUGCUUGCAUCUCAAAGAGGAUGUCUCCAGCUGGUCUUGACAAAACUUUCAAGAACAGCAACUCUCAGAAAGUCGAAAGCUUCAAUAGCACUCAUAAUGUCACCUUUACUCUUAACUUUGCGUGUAGUACUCAUAGUGAUGCUCGCUCUUCAAAUAAUGGCCAGGGCGACUCCAUCUGCAGCUAAUGUUAACCGUUAACCUAAACACCCUCGCUGUUUUGUUAUAUUACAUGUUCACUUCAAGCACUAACAAAAAAAUUACAAGAAAAAUAUUUGGUCCUGUAGCGUUUAUACGUAAAAAUGUAACUUGUGAACAACUCACAGCAAAUUAACCCAAGUCUCUUAAAUGACACCACCUCCUAUUUUAACCCAUCGAAGAUCAUUUUUUCAACAAUUUAUUCAGCCAAUCACCCUACCUUUUUUGCUUAGCUAAAUCUUGUUACACUUCUCUG